CGUGCUACUAGAUGGGCCUAUAUCAGAUUAGCUAGUUGGUAAGGUAAUGGCUUACCAAGGCGACGAUCUGUAGCUGGUUUGAGAGGAACUGAUCGAGCCCACACUGGGACUGAGACACGGCCCAG
rnacentral:rRNA from 1 species